AUUGAACGCUGGCGGCAGGCUUAACACAUGCAAGUCGAGCGGAGAUGAGGUGCUUGCACCUUAUCUUAGCGGCGGACGGGUGAGUAAUGCUUAGGAAUCUGCCUAUUAGUGGGGGACAACAUUCCGAAAGGAAUGCUAAUACCGCAUACGUCCUACGGGAGAAAGCAGGGGAUCUUCGGACCUUGCGCUAAUAGAUGAGCCUAAGUCGGAUUAGCUAGUUGGUGGGGUAAAGGCCUACCAAGGCGACGAUCUGUAGCGGGUCUGAGAGGAUGAUCCGCCACACUGGGACUGAGACACGGCCCAGACUCCUACGGGAGGCAGCAGUGGGGAAUAUUGGACAAUGGGGGGAACCCUGAUCUAGCCAUGCCGCGUGUGUGAAGAAGGCCUUAUGGUUGUAAAGCACUUUAGGCGAGGAGGAGGCUACUGAGACUAAUACUCUUGGAUAGUGGACGUUACUCGCAGAAUAAGCACCGGCUAACUCUGUGCCAGCCGCCGCCGUAA
rnacentral:rRNA from 1 species